CGGCCCCUCAGGGAGCGGAGCCCCGCGGGAUCCCUCUGCUGCCGGCGGGCCGGGUCGUGCCAGGAUAGAAUAACCAGCAUCGGCAGCGCCUCGGAGCUGCCCGCGGAGCUGCCGCUCGGUGUGCAGCCCCUCCAGCUGCGCGGAGUGUCAGGGCUGCCACGCUUUCUCCUGUAAUUUCAGAGCUUGGCAAAAAUCGGGGAGGAAACACGGAAAAUGAGCGAGAAUUUCUUCCACGUGUGCAGCGGAGGAGUUUUGCACCGAGUCCCUGACAGAUGCACUGUUGAUUAAAAGGACUCGCCAAAGCUGAGCUUCUAAUGAAAAGAUGGAAGCUGGGUGGGCCAGACUCAGCUGCUGCUGCUCUUGGACCUGACACCCUGAGGAUGUGGGAUCCAGGGGACAGACCAGAACUAUUGCAGCAGGAUGGACAGUCUGCCACCACUAGUGCAGCUCUCAAAGUGCAGGUGAAUAAAGAAGCAGUCUGUGAUAUAUUCAUUGUAUGUGCGAUGCCUGCUUUAAAGUUACACAUUAAACAAACAAGAUCUGUCUCUUUUU